rnacentral:rRNA from 1 species
GGAUAAGUGCUGAAAGCAUCUAAGCAUGAAGCCCCCCUCAAGAUGAGAUUUCCCAACUUCGGUUAUAAGAUCCCUCAAAGAUGAUGAGGUUAAUAGGUUCGAGGUGGAAGCAUGGUGACAUGUGGAGCUGACGAAUACUAAUCGAUCGAAGACUUAAUCAA